UCUAAAAUGACAGAAAGAUGUAUAGGAUUUAAAUCCCUACUAGGAAGAUAUUCUUCUUUUAGAA
rnacentral:tRNA from 1 species